UGGACCAUACUGGACUUGAACCAGUGACCUCUCGCUUAUCAAGCGAGCGCUCUAACCAACUGAGCUAAUGGUCC
rnacentral:tRNA from 1 species